rnacentral:lncRNA from 1 species
AACCUAAAUCAUUUAUUUUUUUUCUAGACAAGACACUUAAAGUCUCUGAGUCUUGUUUUUUGUUUUUUGUUUUCCUUAUUAAAAGAUGGAACAAACAAAGAUGAACACCAAAGAUCUGAAAACCAUUUGUUCAGGCUUCAGUAGGUAAUAUUCAGAAAAGGAGUGGGGUUAGUUAGGAAAGGCUGAUUAUACCCAAAUCUGAUUUUUCUAUUAAAUCAAUUUCCAAUUCUUUCCUCACUGGAGAUGAAGAACAGCUGUCCUUCUUUAAAGGCUCUAUUAAAGAUGUCCUUCUUUAAUAGAUCAUCAUAUUUCAAACACAAUUCUCAGAGCACCCUGUAGUCUCCUCUUUGCCAAGCUAAACAAUACCACUUUCUUCAACUUUUCCUGUGAGACCUAUUUACCCUUGAAUCAUAGAGCACACACUUGAAGAAUAUUGUCUUUCAUAAUCUCCAGCUUAAGCCUGCUAAUUUUAG